rnacentral:ncRNA from 23 species
UAACCAUUGAUGAAAUUCUGUUGAGUGUCCCCAAUUUUCGGAAAAGAAUUGCAUAGGCGUUGUUCAAUCAAGUCAUUUAUUGUUUUGUUUCGCUAUAUUUUCUUUUCAAAUUGUCAUUCUUUUUCUUCUGUUUUGUUCUCAAUUCUUCUUCUGUUUGAGGAAAUUUGAUUAUAUUGCAUGUCCAGCUAUGCGAUGCACUUUGUUCAUUUUAACUUUGGAUAUAUGCGCCUCGCUAUGAACAUGUUCAUUUUUGUAGUGACCAGAUAGGGGAUUCCAAUAGCAUGAUGAAGGCUGAGGAUUAAUUCUAGUGGAGGGAUAUAUUUAGCUCAGACGAGGAUGAGAAAAAUGGAGUGGAGAUUACAAGGAGAGGUAAGAAAUAAAAAAGGAACGGAUGGGUUUUCUGCUUGGCUGUAUAGCAUGUUUGAGUUUUUCAGUUGUGUCUAUGUUCAAGUUUAUGAUAUGCUGUGGUUGGUUCUGUUGAUUUCACACGUUUUACUUCCAUAUAGUGUGUUGACGGAAACUCCGCGUUAAGGUUUAUUAUAAGGAAAUUUUGAAUUUGUUCUUUUUAUGUUGUUUUACCCUCUUUGCAAUUUUUUCCUUCUUUUUUUAUCCUCAUCUUUUCUGAAUGCAUCUAUUACACAUGCGGUUUUAAUUCACUGUUUUUUAAUUGCAAUGGGAGUUUUCUUUGUGUUGUUGCAUGAUUGGACGUGGGCAAGGUUUCUAUUUUCAAACUUGGUGCACUGUGGUGCAAUGCAUUGUUGCUUGCAAUACAUGAUGUUGCUUUGGCUAGAGAAGUGGAGGGGGGGAAAUACGAAGGAAAGAAAGAUAAGAAAUCAAAAUGGAGCAAGACAUUGAUUAGAUACAAUUAUGUUAUGUGCAUAUUUGAUUACUAGAAGUUGGAGAGAUUCGACGGUUUACAGAAGUCAUAAAUUUAAAUAUCCCGUUUAAUCGCUCAUCUAUUAAAAUUGAUAGUAGAAUGUAGUUUCAUACCCGGGAGAAAUUU